GGAAGAGCUAUCUGUCUGUGGCAUCUGUCACCCCAUUGAUCACUGUGGUUGAAUCAGUUGAUCUGGAUGAUUAGGUAGGUAUCCACUUUGAUGUUCAUCCUUCCUAAAGCUGUGGGCUCUCUCAAAGAAAAUAACCUAAAAUGCAUAUAAGAUGACCAGUAUUCUGUCAAGGGUAUGAGUUGCUUCAUUCUCCUAAAAAUGUUCCCACAAGCUCUAAGAGGAGAUUCUAAAUUAAUAGCUCUUAUAAAGCAGACACACUCUAUUUUCAAUGGAAUA
rnacentral:snRNA from 1 species